rnacentral:rRNA from 1 species
ACGAACGCUGGCGGCAUGCCUAACACAUGCAAGUCGAACGAGACCUUCGGGUCUAGUGGCGCCCGGGUGCGUAACGCGUGGGAACCUGCCCUUAGGUUCGGAAUAACUCCCCGCAAGGGGUGCUAAUACCGGAUAAUGUCUUCGGACCAAAGAUUUAUCGCCUUUGGAUGGGCCCGCGUUGGAUUAGCUAGUUGGUAGGGUAAAAGCCUACCAAGGCGACGAUCCAUAGCUGGUCUGAGAGGAUGAUCAGCCACACUGGGACUGAGACACGGCCCAGACUCCUACGGGAGGCAGCAGUGGGGAAUAUUGGACAAUGGGCGAAAGCCUGAUCCAGCAAUGCCGCGUGAGUGAUGAAGGCCUUAGGGUUGUAAAGCUCUUUUACCCGGGAUGAUAAUGACAGUACCGGGAGAAUAAGCGCCGGCUAACUCCGUG